rnacentral:rRNA from 1 species
AUGCAAGUCGAACGAGAACGGUCCUUCGGGACUUAGUACAGCGGCGCACGGGUGAGUAACACGUGGGUAACCUGCCCAACAAUGGGGGAUAACAGCUCGAAAGGGCUGCUAAUACCGCAUACGACCCUAGGCUCCUUGGAGCUCUGGGUGAAAGGGGCCUUUGGCCUCGUUGUUGGAUGGGCCCGCGGACCAUUAGCUAGUUGGUGGGGUAAUGGCCUACCAAGGCUUCGAUGGUUAGCUGGUCUGAGAGGAUGAUCAGCCACACUGGAACUGAGACACGGUCCAGACUCCUACGGGAGGCAGCAGUGAGGAAUAUUGCGCAAUGGGCGAAAGCCUGACGCAGCAACGCCGCGUGUGUGAUGAAGGCCUUAGGGUUGUAAAGCACUGACCAGAGGGAAGAACAAGCGGGCUUAAUCUCCCGCCCUGACGGUACCUCUGAAGAAAGCACUGGCUAACUCCGUGCCAGCAGCCGCGGUAAUACGGAGAGUGCAAGCGUUGUUCGGAAUUACUGGGCGUAAAGGGCGUCUAGGUGGACCGGUAAGUCAGAUGUGAAAGCCCUCGGCUCAACCGAGGAAGUGCAUCUGAAACUACUGGACUUGAGUACUGGAGGGGACAGUGGAAUUCCUGGUGUAGAGGUGAAAUUCGUAGAUAUCAGGAGGAACACCAGUGGCGAAGGCGACUGUCUGGCCAAGUACUGACACUGAAGCGCGAAAGCGUGGGGAGCAAACAGGAUUAGAUACCCUGGUAGUCCACGCCGUAAACGAUGGGUACUAGUUAUGUCGGGUAUUGACCCCUGGCGUGACGAAGCUAACGCGUUAAGUACCCCGCCUGGGGAGUACGGCCGCAAGGUUAAAACUCAAAUGAAUUGACGGGGGCCCGCACAAGCGGUGAGCAUGUGUUUAUUCGAAGCACGCGCAGAACCUUACAUCCCUUGACUUCCUGUCGCGACUCAGAGAUGAGUCUUUCAGUAGCUGACAGUGACAGGUGCUGCAUGCUGUCGUCAGCUCGUGUCAUGAGAUGUCGUAGUCGCACGAGCGCACCCCUGUCUUAGUGCAUCAUUAGUGGACUCUAAGAGACUGGCGGUGAUAGCCGAGAGGUGGGACGACGCCAGUCUCAUGCUACGGAUGCUACCGGCUCAAUGCGGACAAUGAGUAUUUCAU